GACGAACGCUGGCGGCGUGCUUAACACAUGCAAGUCGAGCGGAAAGGCCCUUUUGGGGGUACUCGAGCGGCGAACGGGUGAGUAACACGUGAGUAAUCUGCCCUUCACUUGGGGAUAACUCCGAGAAAUCGGUGCUAAUACCCGAUAUGACACGCGCCUGCAUGGGUGUGUGUGGAAAGUUUUUUCGGUGGGGGAUGUGCUCGCGGCCUAUCAGCUUGUUGGUGGGGUAGUGGCCUACCAAGGCUUCGACGGGUAGCCGGCCUGAGAGGGUGGCCGGCCACACUGGGACGGAGACACGGCCCAGACUCCUACGGGAGGCAGCAGUGGGGAAUAUUGGACAAUGGGCGGAAGCCUGAUCCAGCAACGCCGCGUGAGGGAUGACGGCCUUCGGGUUGUAAACCUCUUUCAGCACCGACGAAGUUGUGCCUUUUUGGGUGUGGUGACGGUAGGUGCAGAAGAAGGACCGGCCAACUACGUGCCAGCCGCCGCAGUAA
rnacentral:rRNA from 1 species